UACGGGGGGGGGCAAGCGUUGUUCGGAAUUACUGGGCGUAAAGGGCUCGUAGGCGGCCAACUAAGUCGAACGUGAAAUCCCUCAGCUUAACUGGGGAACUGCGUCCGAUACUGAUUGGCUUGAAUCCGGAAGAGGGAUGCGGAAUUCCUGGUGUAGCGGUGGAAUGCGCAGAUAUCAGGAGGAACACCAAUAGCGAAGGCAGCUCGCUGGGACGUUACUGACACUGAGGCGCGAAAGCGUGGGGAGCGAACAGG
rnacentral:rRNA from 1 species